rnacentral:lncRNA from 1 species
UUAAAAUGGGUAAGAAAGGGUUAAAAAGGGGUUAAAUUUGAAAUUGAGGUUCCUGGUUUAUACUGUUUCAUACUGGUCCAUACUGGUUUAUACUGGUUUAUACUGGGAGGGGAGAAAGGGUGAAAAAAGGACAAAAAAUGGGUUAAAAUAUGUCCAAAAUUGGCUAAAAAUUGGUUUAAAAAGGGGUUAAAUUUGGAAUUAGGGUUACUGGCUCAUACUGGUUUAUACUGGUUUAUACUGGUUUAUACUGGUUUAUACUGGGAGGGGGAAAUAGGGAAAAAAAGGCGAAAAAUGGGUUAAAAUAUGUCCAAAAAUCGUUAAAAAGGUGGUUAAAAAGGGGUUAAAUGUGUAUUUAGACUCCAUACUGGUUCAUAGUGGUUUAUACUGGUUAACCCCGCAGGUCGCUGGGGGCGGGGCAGACGCUCCGGCUCAGCCAAUCAGUGACGCCGCUGCGCGCAGGGCAGCGCCGCCUGGCGGCCACGCUGGAGAGCGCAGCGCUGCCGCCGCUGACCGGCAGCGUCCAGUUCGACGUGGCCGCGGGGGAAACUGGGGAAACUGGGAAUACUGGGAAUACUGGGAAUACUGGGAGGAGGAGGAGGAGGAGGAGGGGGAGGCCGGGAGGCAGCACGGGGGGGUGAGCUGGUUUGUACUGGGAGCACUGGUUUGUACUGGGAGCACUGGUUUGUACUGGGAGGGGGUUUGGGUCGUACUGGGAGCACUGGUUUGUACUGGGAGCCAUUUCGGGUCAUACUGGUUUUUACUGGGAGGGGUUUUGGGUCAUACUGGGAGCACUGGGAGCCAUACUGGGAGCACUGGGAGCCUUACUGGUCCAUACUGGGAGCACUGGGAGCCAUACUGGUCCAUACUGGUUUGUACUGGGAGCCAUACCGGUUCAUACUGGGAGCACUGGGAGCCAUACUGGUUUAUACUGGGAGCACUGGGAGCGGUUACUGGUUCAUACUGGGAGCACUGGUUUAUACUGGGAGGGGACUGGGAGCAAUGGAAGCCAUUACUGGUCCAUACUGGUCCAUACUGGUCCAUACUGGUUUAGACUGGUUUGUACUGGGAGCCCCAGCCCCUCCCCGUGACGUCACCUCCCCGCGAUGACGUCACUCUCCCCGCCCCUUUAAUAAAGCG